UACGUAGGGGGCAAGCGUUGUCCGGAAUCAUUGGGCGUAAAGAGCUCGUAGGCGGUCUGUCGCGUCGGCUGUGAAAACACGGGGCUCAACUCCGUGCCUGCAGUCGAUACGGGCAGACUAGAGUUCGGUAGGGGAGACUGGAAUUCCUGGUGUAGCGGUGGAAUGCGCAGAUAUCAGGAGGAACACCGAUGGCGAAGGCAGCUCGCUGGGACGGUACUGACGCUGAGGCGCGAAAGCGUGGGGAGCGAACAGG
rnacentral:rRNA from 1 species